UACGGAGGGGGCUAGCGUUGUUCGGAAUUAUUGGGCGUAAAGCGUCCGCAGGUGGACAUACAAGUCUGCUGUCAAAGUGCAGAGCUUAACUCUGUAAAGGCGGUGGAAACUGUAGGUCUUGAGUAUGGUAGGGGUAGAGGGAAUUCCCGGUGUAGCGGUGAAAUGCGUAGAUAUCGGGAAGAACACCAGUGGCGAAAGCGCUCUACUGGGCCAUAACUGACACUGAGGGACGAAAGCUAGGGGAGCGAAAGGG
rnacentral:rRNA from 1 species